rnacentral:rRNA from 1 species
AUCCGGGUUGCGGACAGUGUCUGGUGGGUAGUUUGACUGGGGCGGUCUCCUCCUAAAGAGUAACGGAGGAGCACGAAGGUUAGCUAAUCCUGGUCGGACAUCAGGAGGUUAGUGCAAAGGCAUAAGCUAGCUUGACUGCGAGCGUGACGGCGCGAGCAGGUGCGAAAGCAGGUCUUAGUGAUCCGGUGGUUCUGAAUGGAAGGGCCAUCGCUCAACGGAUAAAAGGUACUCCGGGGAUAACAGGCUGAUACCGCCCAAGAGUUCAUAUCGACGGCGGUGUUUGGCACCUCGAUGUCGGCUCAUCACAUCCUGGGGCUGAAGUAGGUCCCAAGGGUAUGGCUGUUCGCCAUUUAAAGUGGUACGCGAGCUGGGUUUAGAACGUCGUGAGACAGUUCGGUCCCUAUCUGCCGUGGGCGCUGGAGAAUUGAGGGGGGCUGCUCCUAGUACGAGAGGACCGGAGUGGACGCAUCACUGGUGUUCGGGUUGUCAUGCCAAUGGCACUGCCCGGUAGCUAAAUGCGGAAGAGAUAAGUGCUGAAAGCAUCUAAGCACGAAACUUGCCCCGAGAUGAGUUCUCCCUGACCCUUUAAGGGUCCUGAAGGAACGUUGAAGACGACGACGUUGAUAGGCCGGGUGUGUAAGCGCAGCGAUGCGUUGAGCUAACCGGUACUAAUGAACCGUGAGGCUUAACCUU